CACUAUGCCUAGCCAUAAACAUUGAUAGUAACCUACACCCACUAUCCGCCCGGGAACUACGAGCAUCAGCUUAAAACCCAAAGGACUUGGCGGUGCUUUAGAUCCACCUAGAGGAGCCUGUUCUAGAACCGAUUACCCCCGUUCAACCUCACCUUUCCUUGUCCCUCCCGCCUAUAUACCACCGUCGUCAGCUUACCCUGUGAAGGACUCAUAGUAAGCAAGAUUGGCAUAGCCCAAAACGUCAGGUCGAGGUGUAGCGUAUGGAAAGGGAAGAAAUGGGCUACAUUCCCUAACACAGGGAACUACGAAUGAUACGCUGAAAUACGUAUCUGAAGGAGGAUUUAGCAGUAAGCAGAAAAAAGAGCGUUCCGCUGAAACCGGCCCUGAAGCGCGCACACACCGCCCGUCACUCUCCCCGAGCUCAUCAACCUUAAAUACCUAAAACCUAAAUACUGCAAAGGGGAGGCAAGUCGUAA
rnacentral:rRNA from 1 species